rnacentral:rRNA from 1 species
AGAGUUUGAUCAUGGCUCAGAUUGAACGCUGGCGGCAGGCCUAACACAUGCAAGUCGAGCGGCAGCGGAAAGUAGCUUGCUACUUUGCCGGCGAGCGGCGGACGGGUGAGUAAUGUCUGGGAAACUGCCUGAUGGAGGGGGAUAACUACUGGAAACGGUAGCUAAUACCGCAUAACGUCGCAAGACCAAAGAGGGGGACCUUCGGGCCUCUUGCCAUCAGAUGUGCCCAGAUGGGAUUAGCUAGUAGGUGGGGUAACGGCUCACCUAGGCGACGAUCCCUAGCUGGUCUGAGAGGAUGACCAGCCACACUGGAACUGAGACACGGUCCAGACUCCUACGGGAGGCAGCAGUGGGGAAUAUUGCACAAUGGGCGCAAGCCUGAUGCAGCCAUGCCGCGUGUAUGAAGAAGGCCUUCGGGUUGUAAAGUACUUUCAGCGGGGAGGAAGGUGUUGAGGUUAAUAACCUCAGCAAUUGACGUUACCCGCAGAAGAAGCACCGGCUAACUCCGUGCCAGCAGCCGCGGUAAUACGGAGGGUGCAAGCGUUAAUCGGAAUUACUGGGCGUAAAGCGCACGCAGGCGGUCUGUCAAGUCGGAUGUGAAAUCCCCGGGCUCAACCUGGGAACUGCAUUCGAAACUGGCAGGCUAGAGUCUUGUAGAGGGGGGUAGAAUUCCAGGUGUAGCGGUGAAAUGCGUAGAGAUCUGGAGGAAUACCGGUGGCGAAGGCGGCCCCCUGGA